CCUACGGGGGGCAGCAGUGAGGAAUAUUGGUCAAUGGACGAGAGUCUGAACCAGCCAAGUAGCGUGAAGGAUGACUGCCCUAUGGGUUGUAAACUUCUUUUAUAUGGGAAUAAAAUGUUCCACGUGUGGGAUUUUGUAUGUACCAUAUGAAUAAGAAUCGGCUAACUCCGUGCCAGCAGCCGCGGUAAUACGGAGGAUCCGAGCGUUAUCCGGAUUUAUUGGGUUUAAAGGGAGCGUAGGUGGAUUGUUAAGUCAGUUGUGAAAGUUUGCGGCUCAACCGUAAAAUGGCAGUUGAAACUGGCAGUCUAGAGUACAGUAGAGGGGGGCGGAAUUCGUGGUGUAGCGGUGAAAUGCUUAGAUAUCACGAAGAACUCCGAUUGCGAAGGCAGCUCACUGGACUGCAACUGACACUGAGGCUCGAAAGUGUGGGUAUCAAACAGGAUUAGAUACCCUUGUAGUC
rnacentral:rRNA from 1 species